GUGCAGUCCAAUAAGCUGACCAGACGGGGUGUUGUACUGCUCUGGUGUGCAAUGGCUGCUGACAGUGACGUCUCUGGUUGUGUAUGCGCGUGGCUGGCGGUGCAACGUGCUCUAAGGGACCUCUGAGACAUUU